rnacentral:rRNA from 1 species
GAUGAACGCUGGCGGCGUGCCUAAUACAUGCAAGUCGAGCGAACAGAUGAGGAGCUUGCUCCUCUGACGUUAGCGGCGGACGGGUGAGUAACACGUGGAUAACCUACCUAUAAGACUGGGAUAACUUCGGGAAACCGGAGCUAAUACCGGAUAAUAUAUCGAACCGCAUGGUUCAAUAGUGAAAGACGGUUUUGCUGUCACUUAUAGAUGGAUCCGCGCCGCAUUAGCUAGUUGGUAAGGUAACGGCUUACCAAGGCAACGAUGCGUAGCCGACCUGAGAGGGUGAUCGGCCACACUGGAACUGAGACACGGUCCAGACUCCUACGGGAGGCAGCAGUAGGGAAUCUUCCGCAAAGGGCGAAAGCCUGACGGAGCAACGCCGCGUGAGUGAUGAAGGUCUUCGGAUCGUAAAACUCUGUUAUUAGGGAAGAACAAAUGUGUAAGUAACUAUGCACGUCUUGACGGUACCUAAUCAGAAAGCCACGGCUAACUACGUG